CACGGGGGUUGCGAGCGUUGUCCAGAAUUACUAGGCGUAAAGGGCAGGCAGGCGGAUCCAUAAGUUUAUCGUUUAAGGCGUCGGCUUAACCGGCGUAGGGCGGUAGAUACUGUGGAUCUGGAAUGCGGUUGGGGAAGACAGAAUUCCUGGUGUAGCGGUGGAAUGCGCAGAGAUCAGGAGGAAUACCGAAGGCGAAGGCAGUCUUCCAAGCCGUUAUUGACGCUCAACUGCGAAGGUGUGGGUAUCAAACAGGAUUAGAUACCCUGGUAGUCCCU
rnacentral:rRNA from 1 species